AUUGAACGCUUUCUUCCUGCUUUACACAUGCAAGUCGAACGGUAACAGGCCUUCGGGUGCUGACGAGUGGCGAACGGGUGAGUAAUGCAUCGGAACGUGCCCAGAGGUGGGGGAUAACGCAGCGAAAGCUGUGCUAAUACCGCAUGUGAUCUGAGGAUGAAAGCGGGGGACCAAGCAGCAAUGUUUGGCCUCGCGCCUCUGGAGCGGCCGAUGUCAGAUUAGGUGGUUGGUGGGGUAAAGGCCUACCAAGCCGACGAUCUGUAGCUGGUCUGAGAGGACGACCAGCCACACUGGGACUGAGACACGGCCCAGACUCCUACGGGAGGCAGCAGUGGGGAAUUUUGGACAAUGGGCGCAAGCCUGAUCCAGCAAUGCCGCGUGCGGGAAGAAGGCCUUCGGGUUGUAAACCGCUUUUGUACGGAACGAAAAGGCUCUGGCUAAUACCUGGGGCUGAUGACGGUACCGUAAGAAUAAGCACCGGCUAACUACGUG
rnacentral:rRNA from 1 species